UACGUAGGGGGCGAGCGUUGUCCGGAUUUAUUGGGCGUAAAGAGCGUGUAGGCGGCCAGGUAGGUCUGCUGUGAAAACUCGAGGCUCAACCUCGAGACGUCGGCGGAAACCAUCUGGCUAGAGUCCGGAAGAGGAGAGUGGAAUUCCUGGUGUAGCGGUGAAAUGCGUAGAGAUGUGGAGGAACACCAAUGGCGAAGGCAGCCUUCUGGGCCAACACUGACGCUCAUGCACGAAAGCGUGGGGAGCAAACAGG
rnacentral:rRNA from 1 species